UUCGAGAUUGUUUUGGGUGAUCUGCAUGGCAAUUUUCCCUAAACACUUUACGACGGAGUGAAGUAAACACAAAAACAGAAAACAAAAAGGAAAGCAGAGAAACAGAAACAAAGGUGGGUCGUGGUACGGGCGCGGUCGCACGUGCGAGGCUCGAAAGCCCGAAGCUUCGUGUCGGGCACCGAUCGACACGGUGUCGCGCGUUAUUUUAGGUCGCCGAUCCGAUUCCAUUCCCGCCGCGGUAUUCCCCGUUCUCCUCCCUCAAUAAUAAGCGGUUGGCCGGAUGCUGCGGUCGUCCGUCCGCUCCUCUGCGUUCUUUCGUUUGGUUCGGUUUUAUUUUCUGACGUGUCGAGCGCGUAUUGGCCUUUUGGGCUUCACGUGAAAGACUUAUUGACCUGUUGAACAAGCACUGUUUUCUUACCCGUCACGGAUUGCUUCUCCGCGAUUGCGUCGCCGAUGGGACCCACCGUCGCGCCUAUCUGUGAGAGGGCGAACGACCGUGAGCAUCGAGACCGCCGCGGUUUUCCUUUUGUGAGUAAUGCAUUGCUUAGACUCGUUGGGACGUCACUUUCUCUUCAUCUCGAGGGCUCGCUGGGUAACCGCCUCCGUAUACGCCUCACGCAACGUGUACUUACCGUCCACAUUCCUGGUGAGUCGUUCCCAGCAUAUGCGCGCUGUUCGUCGCGCUACUGAGCCACGCUGGCGGUGACCAGACACCGACUCCAAUCUCGCGCUUCAUAAGCGUAACCAAUCUUCUUCUUUCCUUCCCCUCUCUCUCCGUCUCUCAAUCUUCUUCUUCUCCUGGUUUCCUAACCCUCUCUUUCCCACCACCUUCUCUCUCUCUAUCCUUCUUAGACGACGUCCGUCGGCGGCGAUCUCCAUAAUCGUUUGAUGUCGGUUCUUGAUGCGUUACCUGUCCCCUUGGGUGGCUUGAUGCGGGUCCUUCAUUAAACCAAAAGAAAUUAUACCAAACGAUCAUCCCAAGAGGGCAGGUAUUGUAUCGGUUCUUGACAUCAAGAUACCCAAGAUGACAGUCAUCGCAUCAAGGAACGAUAACAAGACACCCAAGAGGCCAGGCAUCGCAUGAGUAAUCUCCAUCAGAAUUAGAUCGAAAGGUUUCUUCGGAUAUCUUCCGUCUUUGUUUCUUGAAUUCGUCGUACGUGUUUGGGUUCCGUAGAUUAAGGAUUUUUUUGUGCGUUUCAAGUUUGGGUUUCUUUGAUUUCUCGUCGUUCUCGGGGUUCUUUGGAUUAAGGUUUCUUUUGUACCUCCCGUCUCCGUUUCUUUGGAUUCGUCAUUAAGAUUGGGGUUCCAGAGAUUAUGCCGUCUCUGGUUUUUGGAUGAAGACCGGGGCAGGACGAAACACGCCAAAGAUCCUCGUGCCAAAGCGGCCGCUGUAUUCUUUAAAGAGCAAGAACGGCCCACAGCCAUGAGGAAGUUGCACAAGAAUGACCUCGGAGGAGCAACUUUUGGCUGCAAGGGCAUGACGGUAGAAUGGUGCCUUGCCUUCCAAUGCAAUUGUGUGGUGAGUGACUGACCCAUAGCAAUUUUCAUUUUAGUUGCUUCUUUCUCUAGUAUUAGACGUCAAAAUUGGCUUUAGGGCUAUAUAAUUUGUCCAUGCUUCUAAUGACAUAUAUGGUUUCUUGUUGAUUCUGUUUAA